CGCCUGGGGAGUACGGCCGCAAGGUUAAAACUCAAAUGAAUUGACGGGGGCCCGCACAAGCGGUGGAGCAUGUGGUUUAAUUCGACGCAACGCGAAGAACCUUACCUGGCCUUGACAUGCAGAGAACUUUCCAGAGAUGGAUUGGUGCCUUCGGGAACUCUGACACAGGUGCUGCAUGGCCGUCGUCAGCUCGUGUCGUGAGAUGUUGGGUUAAGUCCCGUAACGAGCGCAACCCCUAUCCCUAGUUGCUAGCAGUUCGGCUGAGAACUCUAGGGAGACUGCCGGUGACAAACCGGAGGAAGGUGGGGAUGACGUCAGGUCAUCAUGGCCCUUACGGCCAGGGCUACACACGUGCUACAAUGGUGCGCACAAAGGGCUGCAAACCCGCGAGGGGGAGCCAAUCUCACAAAACGCAUCGUAGUCCGGAUCGCAGUCUGCAACUCGACUGCGUGAAGUCGGAAUCGCUAGUAAUCGUGAAUCAGAAUGUCACGGUGAAUACGUUCCCGGGCCUUGUACACACCGCCCGUCGCACCAUGGGAGUGGAUUGCACCAGAAGUGGUUAGUCUAACCUUCGGGAGGACGAUCACCACGGUGUGGUUCAUGACUGGGGUGAAGUCGUAACAAGGUAACCGUA
rnacentral:rRNA from 1 species